GCUUAAACUGCAUGAGGCUGGUUGGGAACAUGGCGAUGUAUCGCUCACGCAGGUAGAGCAAAGAGCGCAUCGUUUUUCUUGUAAGAGAAGAGGCAUCCAGCGCGCAAACUGGUGCGGAGAUCAGCGCACUACUUUUUGUUUCGGAGUCGCCCCCACCGCGCGCCCGCACAACAUCGCGGAACAGCACAGCGCCGGAGAAAGGCGAUCCGUUCAGCGGGCAGGCCCGGGCAGGCGGCGCGCGCCAAGGCCAUCCAAGAAAACUCUUGUGCCAGCCACGUUUCACCGCCGCGAAAAGAGGACAGUCGUUCAUCGUUCGUUGGAUUGAACAACAAAUACUCCACGGCACCCGUUUUAUAAAACUCAAGAAGGCAGCUGCAAGGAGAAAAUGGUGUCAAGGAGCCAGCUCAGCACAACUCCACAUGGUGCAGAGGAGCGUACUCCAAAGCAUCAAAAUGUGUUGCCAUGCAAUUUGGAAAAUAUUGUUUUACAAGCAAAAAUUCCCACUCCUCUGAUCAGAUCAUUAGAAGAUGCAUCUGUACGAAAUGAACAAACUAUCACGUGAUGUCUUAUGAGAAAGAAAAUUAUGCAAUAGACAACAAGAAUACCGCAACAGUUGUGAAAUGCGUCAGUGCGCUGUGGCAAUAGCUGUCUACGAAAUACAGUCCGUGAGAAAGCGCGAUGGCACGAUCCCGACAGCACCAGGAAAUUACUUGCAUGAGGAUGCCAAGAGUGAAGCCGAGCUUUCUGCCAAAAGACUACCAGCUUUGGAUCCAACCGAAUGGGAGCUAUGAUACGCCACAGUACUGCCUUCACUCCGAGCGGAGAUAAGUGUUGGACAACCACGGCAAGAUGCGCGUUUAGAAAAAAAGGGGGUGCAGCCCAUGCAUGAAUAACUAUGUGAAAUAUUAUGACCAAAACUUGACGGUGCGGCUUUACACGAAAAUAUACAGCACAUUUCUAAAUAUACUGUAUACUCUCAGUCAGGAGCAUCCAUACGCUUCAUAAGAUGUUAUCAAACGAGCUGCUGUCUUGAAAGUAAAUUGCGAAUGAAAAAACUUCCUGCGCAAAUUACUUUAUCAGCCUCAUGCCUAGCAGCUCAUCUGAUAACCUACGGUAUAUAAGUACACGAGUUUAGUGCUCGAAAUGCGUUUUCUGAGCAGUAAUGUGGUGCAUCUUUCUCUUCAAUCGUAGUGCCAAUACUUCGCGAGUUUGCGUAUGUUUGUUGUUUGUUUGAUUUUACAUUGUGUACUUUCAUUUUUUAAAUGUUGCCAAUUGAAAAUAAAAAAAAUAUUUCUCACUGCAUUAGCGAUGAAAUGUUAAAGAAAAUGUUUCUGUAUUAUUGCAAGAUGUGUUGUAAAGUUCAUGAAAAUCCGUGUAAUCUGAUUUUAUGUGUAUCUGUAUGUUUUUCGAAAUCUUAUUCAGUUUGCCUUGUGACUGUUUGAUCAAUAAAAAUGUUGACCUUUGAAGAAAAAUAUGUUUCAUUCGAGUGACUCGGCGACUAAACAUCAAAUCCAAUUCACCAAGCGUGAGUGCAGGAGCUCCUCAUGAAGGAAUCAAAUAUCCCCGACAUGUAAGUGUUGUGAAUCGCCUCUUAUGUGACCAUGGCACUGCAUAGCGAGUGCUUUCACACAACUUGGAGGAGUACGAGCACUCUGUCUGAAGGAGUACAAACACUCUAUUAGGAGGAGUACAAGCACUCUGUUUGGGGGAGUAGUAUCACUCGGUUGGAGGGAGUACUAAUACUCUUGUGGGGUGGAGUAUUCGUACUCUGGAAGGAGUUCUAGCACUCUGUUGAGGAGGACUACUAAUACUCUGUCCGGGGGAGUUGCUGUACUCUCUCCGAGAUGGAGGCGUUUUACUCCUGAAAAGGGAGUGAAA